rnacentral:rRNA from 1 species
AAGCGCUUGCAGCCAGACUUGCUUGUAGUUGCUUACCUAGACUUUUGUCUGGGGUACUCUUCUGCAGGCAGGCCAGCAUCAGUUUGGGCGGUUGGAUAAAGGUCUCUGUCACGUACCUCCUUUCG